GUAAACAAAUGUGAUGAGGGUUCGCGCGAAUAUUUUGUAGCUUGAUUUCUAUGAUAAACAUGCUAUAUGGAAAGGUGAUAGCGAUUGAAAUGAAUAAAAUACAAUCCAUACUUACUAACAAAACCGACAAUUCGGAUUGACAACGAGAAGGAUACAUAAAAUAGCGGCACAACUAGCUGGAGUCAAUCUGGGUCGCAAGACGCACAUAAAAGAUACAUCAAAAUUGAUGAACAUAGAACAUCAGACCUGUACCACUGGCAUCCUGUAUCUUCACCAGAACAGACCAGGUACCUCACAAGACAGAAAGUGUGUGUCCAGCAAAGCAUUCAAUGGUUGAAGCUCUAAUAUCAGCUUGGGUGGAAAGAACAGUGAAGAUACAGAACAGACAUAAGCUAAUGAGAUAUGAUAAACUGGAAGCUUCGAGAGGAUGUUAUACAAAAAUAUGAUAAGUGGACUUGAUAUUUUGCUACUUGGUUUUAAGCUAGUGAACAGAAAAUCUAAAUUCCAGUAGGAGUUAAGGUCACAGGAUAACAAUCUGGCUUUAUAGGUGCCUAUUUUGGACAUACUUACAUGUCCAAUGAACUAUAAAUAAAUUAAAAUCACCUUGAUGGUUUCUUUGAAUGAAAGACGUUUGACUUCAUAGAAUGACUGCUGAUUUUUAUCAUAUAUACUUGUCUGUGUCGGACCAUUCUAGUUGACAAAAUUAAUAUAAAAUAUAUUUUUAAUAUUAUACUAUACUACUCUUGGGAAAAGUAAAAUAAAAUGGAAUGAAAGGAAAUUUUUAUGUGUUACAUCAAAAUAUCUUUAACCACUGGACAUCAGGACAGAACUUAAGUUUUUGCUUGUGACUGCUUGUAAAAAUAUUGUAUCUCUAUGUUCUCUUGAUGAAAGAUAUUUUGAACUUGUACUGAAACAACCAAAUAUCCUGUAAAUACUUUUUCAAAACAUUUGAUAAAUUAUAUUGCAACUAUAACCUAACAUGAAGAAAGUGGGGGUUUUAUAAAUUGUAUUUUCAGGUUGUAGUGGUGUUAGUACAGACACAGAAGAGAGAGGGCGGCUAAAAAACUGCAGUUCAGAAGGAUGAAUAUCUGAUCCGAUACUUUGUUGUGAAAUGGGUAAAAUUCAUAUGGAACUCUGAAGAAGAUGAAUACCAGAAACUUAGAGGGUUAGAAGUUAACAAUACAUGUUCAUAUUUCCAUGAGGUGAAUUGUUUAAGCUGCGAACACCAAAGCGAAAGUGAAAUGUAUGAAGUUCAGUUGUAAUGGUAAUGAGAUGCAGGUCUUUGUCCUACAUGGUGAGGGAAAUGGUGCAUGGCAUUUUUGGAAAACAUGUAAUAGGAUGAAAAUUACAAAAAAUGACUGGAGGUCUUUGCUUAAUUCUAGCUCCAAAUCAUUUCCAACAUGGACAAAUAGGAGGAGAGUUCGCUCCUGAGAGCCUUGAUACAAAUGAUUUCAGCCCUAUGUACCUCCAAGAAAUGGAACAGAGUUUGACCAGAUCUGAAAGUUGGAGAUGUCGUUAUCAUGGUAUAACCUGGCGUGCGUCGAGCACAUUGGCCUUUAGGUUGUGUUACACGCGUUCAUACAAGUUGCAAUGCUCAUGUGAGAGCAGUAAACAUUUUAGUAAAUGGUAAAGAACUUGCACAGCCCAUUACAAAGUUACGCCCAUUAGAAAUUAACAGCAGUGAUUAAAAGUAAUGUAUUAUGCAGAAAUAUUGCAUUUUAUAUGACAAAAAGUGUAAAUAUUUCACAUGUGGAGGACAUAAUAAUCCCUCAAAAUAAUUUCGUGUGUGAAGGGCAUAAUACUCCCUCAAAAUUAUUCAGCGUGUUGAGGGCAUAAUAAUCCCUCAAAAAUAAUUCAGCGUGUUUAGGGCAUAAUACUCCCUCAAAAAUAAUUCAGCAUGUUGAGGGCAUAAUACUCCCUCAAAAUAAUUCAGCGUGUUGAGGGCAUAAUAAUCCCUCAAAAAUAAUUCCGCUCGUGGAGGGCAUAAUAAUCCC
rnacentral:lncRNA from 1 species